UCACUCGUAGAGUACCAAAUCUGGGAUUAUUGUACCAGGACGGGUUGAUAUUCAAAGAGCACAACAAUUCAGAAAUCCGCAAAGUUGAUAAGAUUAGCGACGAUUGAAAUCAGAGCAACUAUAAAAUCCGUAUAGAAACGGUAAAGCUCUACAUUAGUGUUACACUGUGCCGGUCAGCAUGAAGUCUAUUGUAUUCGCAUUGUUUAUUGCGGCAGUCGCCUCCAAUCCAAUCUUUCAAUCGGAAAAUGUUGGUGAGGAAGUGAAAGAGGAGAACUGGCAAUUGGUACCAGAUACCGAUGGACAUAUGCAUUUAGUUGAUAUCAAUAGCGUUGAUAUGGAUGCUGAACCAGCAUUCAAUGCACCAACUGAUGUGAUAUUCCAUUUGUUUACCAGACAAAAUCCUACUGCUCCACAAAAUGUUGCAUUGCGUAACAAUGCUCAACUGGCGAGUAGUAAUUUACGGCACGUCAGUCCAGAUUCUAUACUCACGGAUGGGGAUCAGCCAAUCAGAAUACUAGGGCCGUCGUUAGGAACGCUUUUCUCCAACAACUCGACUGUAAAGUUUUCGUUGUGAACUGGAAUGCAGGCUCCGACACACCAAACUAUAUUUUAGG